UUUCCGUAGGUGAACCUGCGGAAGGAUCAUUACCGAGUGAGGGUCUCUCAGGCCCGACCUCCCCCCCUGUGUUUUUGUGACCUUGUUGCCUUGGCGGGCCCGCCUCGAUGAGAGGCCGCCGGAAGCUCACCGCCUUGGGCCCGUGCCCGUCAGUAGCCCCCUUAAAUUCUUAAUAAACCUGUCGUCUGCGUUAAUGGAUAUAAUGAAAAAAAACUUUCAACAACGGAUCUCUUGGUUCUG
rnacentral:misc_RNA from 1 species